rnacentral:lncRNA from 1 species
AGUGAUUAAUUGAAGGCCUCUGUGCCCUCUUGUUUAUUUUAAAAGAACAAGGGGAAGCUUCAUUUGCAUGAGAUUUAAGGAAAAGGCUUCUGAGGUUCUUUGGUUAUUUGCAGACUUUCGUUCCAAGUGGAAACUGAUGUUUCUAUUGAUGCAGUGCCUCACUUGGUGUUGGACGUUUCUAUUGAUGCAGUGCCUCACUUGGUGUUGGACGGCAGGGGAAAGAAUUUGAAAUCAGCUCUAUGCCAUGAGGGACUGUAGUGCCAGGAGGCCCUAGCUGGCUGCAGGUCUUCACGCUGGUAUCAGCAUAAUGCCACACUGCCCAUCCCAGUCUCUGACCCAACAGAUGUUCCUUCCUGGUAGGAAUAUAUUAGUUGGUGGAUAUCAACUUAUUGAAAACGCUUUGAAGAUUCUGAGAAUGGAUCCAUGUUGUCAUAUUAAUUGGAAGAUUAGCCCUCAGCUAACUACUGCCAGUCCUCCUCUUUUUGCUGAGGAAGCCUUUAUAUGUGGGACGCCUACCACAGCAUGGCGUGCCCAGCGGUGCCAUGUCCUCACCCGGGAUCCGAACCAGCGAACCCCGGGCCGCCGAGAAGCAGAACGUGCGAACUUAACCACUGCACCACUGGGCGGCCCCAUAAAUCAAAUUUUCUUUUGUUGCUAAUACAACAAAGAUUUACUUUUAAUCAGUGACUCGAAGCAGGCGAGAGAGAAAUCUAGCAGGUAGUGAGACAAGACAAACGUACUUUUUGGAUAUCAGUCUAGAAUUUUUUCAAACAUAAUUUAGAAAAACUUACAGUCCAUCUCAGAUUUAUUCUUUCAAGGACAGAGGUUU